CCAAACUUGAGAGUUUGAUCCUGGCUCAGAACGAACGCUGGCGGCAUGCCUAACACAU
rnacentral:rRNA from 1 species